rnacentral:rRNA from 1 species
GUGGCGAACUGGUGAGUAACACGUGGCGUAACCUGCCCUUGAAGUAGGGGAUAACACUUGGAAACAGGUGCUAAUACCGUAUAACAACCAAAACCACCUGGUUUUGGUUUAAAAGACGGCUUCGGCUGUCACUUUAGGAUGGACCCGCGGCGUAUUAGCUUGUUGGUAAGGUAACGGCCUACCAAGGCGAUGAUACGUAGCCGACCUGAGAGGGUAAUCGGCCACAUUGGGACUGAGACACGGCCCAAACUCCUACGGGAGGCAGCAGUAGGGAAUCUUCCACAAUGGACGAAAGUCUGAUGGAGCAACGCCGCGUGAGUGAUGAAGGGUUUCGGCUCGUAAAACUCUGUUGUUGGAGAAGAACAGGUGUCAGAGUAACUGUUGACAUCUUGACGGUAUCCAACCAGAAAGCCACGGCUAACUACGUGCCAGCAGCCGCGGUAAUACGUAGGUGGCAAGCGUUGUCCGGAUUUAUUGGGCGUAAAGCGAGCGCAGGCGGUUUUUUAGGUCUGAUGUGAAAGCCUUCGGCUUAACCGGAGAAGUGCAUCGGAAACCGGGAGACUUGAGUGCAGAAGAGGACAGUGGAACUCCAUUGUGUAGCGGUGAAAUGCGUAGAUAUAUGGAAGAACACCAGUGGCGAAGGCGGCUGUCUGGGCUGUAACUGACGCUGAGGCUCGAAAGCAUGG